UGGGGGAUAUUGCGCAAUGGGGGCAACCCUGACGCAGCAACGCCGCGUGAAGGAUGAAGGUUUUCGGAUUGUAAACUUCUUUUAUUAAGGACGAAAAAUGACGGUACUUAAUGAAUAAGCUCCGGCUAACUACGUGCCAGCAGCCGCGGUAAUACGUAGGGAGCAAGCGUUGUCCGGAUUUACUGGGUGUAAAGGGUGCGUAGGCGGCUUUGCAAGUCAGAUGUGAAAUCUAUGGGCUCAGCCCAUAAACUGCAUUUGAAACUGUAGAGCUUGAGUGAAGUAGAGGCAGGCGGAAUUCCCCGUGUAGCGGUGAAAUGCGUAGAGAUGGGGAGGAACACCAGUGGCGAAGGCGGCCUGCUGGGCUUUAACUGACGCUGAGGCACGAAAGCGUGGGUAGCAAACAGGAUUAGAUACCCUGGUAGUCCACGCUGUAAACGAUGAUUACUAGGUGUGGGGGGUCUGACCCCUUCCGUGCCGGAGUUAACACAAUAAGUAAUCCACCUGGGGAGUACGGCCGCAAGGUUGAAACUCAAAGGAAUUGACGGGGGCCCGCACAAGCAGUGGAGUAUGUGGUUUAAUUCGAAGCAACGCGAAGAACCUUACCAGGUCUUGACAUCCAACUAACGAAGUAGAGAUACAUUAGGUGCCCUUCGGGGAAAGUUGAGACAGGUGGUGCAUGGUUGUCGUCAGCUCGUGUCGUGAGAUGUUGGGUUAAGUCCCGCAACGAGCGCAACCCUUGCUAUUAGUUGCUACGCAAGAGCACUCUAAUAGGACUGCCGUUGACAAAACGGAGGAAGGUGGGGACGACGUCAAAUCAUCAUGCCCCUUAUGACCUGGGCUACACACGUACUACAAUGGAUGUUAACAGAGGGAAGCAAGACAGCGAUGUGGAGCAAACCCCUAAAAACAUUCUCAGUUCAGAUUGCAGGCUGCAACCCGCCUGCAUGAAGAUGGAAUUGCUAGUAAUCGCGGAUCAGCAUGCCGCGGUGAAUACGUUCCC
rnacentral:rRNA from 1 species